UAUCUCUGUUGAAUAUUUUUGUAAUUUAGUUUGUUCGAUUCUGAAAUUUAAGAUAUUGCUUCUACAAAAACUUUAAUCUAACUAACUAUCCAAGUUCUAAUUAGAAUCCUAGACAGCACUCAAGAAAGCAAGACCUACGGUAACAUAUACAUAAAUAUAACAAGAUACAUCCAAUUUAUUCAAAACCUUAACAGUGUGGAAACUGGUAGAUUGACAGUAUCCUAGAAAUUAAGCUGGAAUAGGUAUCUACCUAAUAAAAAUGUACACAAAACUCGUUUUGAAACGAGUACUUUUUAUUAUCGUUUUCUGUUGUUUAACAGGAUUAUCCUUUGCAUGGGAUACCAGAAUCCGUCAAUAUCUUUACACACCUUCAAACCAAGAAAACCCAUUUCUAUUAAGAGAUAGUGCCUUACAUACGGUCGAUCCGUCUCUCGAAACAAAAAUUAUAAUUCAUGGAUUUUUUGAAAAUGCUGAUCGGUAUUGGCUACGAAAUAUUCGUAGGGCUUAUUUCGAAAGGGGCAACUAUAAUGUCAUAUUGGUAGACUGGUCAUAUUGGGCUAUUUGGAGACCGUUUAACGCUAUCAACAAUAUACCUAAUGUCGGAUUAGAUGUGGGCGAUGCGAUUCUUAAAUUAGUUUCAUCUCAAGCACUAGAUAUUAAAAAAGUUCAUAUUGUUGGAUUCUCGAUGGGAGCACAUGCUGCAGGAUUUGCAGGUCAACGAGUCUAUGAAUCCUUAGGAACAAAGAUUACAAGAAUAACAAGUUUAGAUGGUGUAGGACAAUAUUACAAGGACGUCAAUGACACUGAACGAUUAAGUUCAGACGAUGCCGAUUAUGUUGAUGUUGUCCACACAAGUUGGGUUGGAAGGCAUGAUCCAUAUGGGACUGUUGAUUACUAUGUUAAUGGUAAAAAUUUCCAAAAAGGUUGUCCAGAUAUUUUAACAUUCGAAAGAAGAAGUAUUUUUACAUUUUUAAUCGAUGCCGUGAUUAAUUUAGUGGCGUGUAGCCACGAAAGGUCUCAUGCUUAUUUUAUCGAAAGUAUUAAUUGCAAAGGCAUAACCGGUACGUCCUGUAGUAGUCGUGAUAAUUUUGAUAAAGGAUUGUGCAAGGAGAAUACGAAAACAAUAUUUGGAGAGGACGCCCCUGUAAAAGAUCUUGGUGGAUUAUUUUAUGUUACCACAAAUCAGCACUCUCCAUUUAAUACAUCAGCCUGUUGAAAGAAAUUUUAUUACUCUAUGUAUACCUACACCUAUAUCUAUUGAGCAGUUUUGCAGGAACCCAAUAAGAAAUAAGGUGGUUAUUCUUGUUGUAUUAAUAAUAUGCAGAAUUAUGGCUUACAAACAAAAAUCUGAAAAACUGAAAGCCUUAGUUAGUCUCAUGAAACUUAUGGAAAAUUGACCAUAGGGGCGUUCGUUUUCAAGUAGAAUAGGUAUGAAGAACAUCAGAUAAAACUAUAAAGAAAUGGUAACAGGCGUGG